GUCCUUGCCGUAAACGAUGUAUACUUGAUGUAAUUGGGCUCAACCCUGAUUGUGUCGAAGCUAACGCGAUAAGUAUACCGCCUGAGGAGUACGCUCGCAAGGGUGAAACUCAAAAGAAUUGACGGGGGCCCGCACAAGCAGUGGAGCAUGUGGUUUAAUUCGAUGCAACGCGAAGAACCUUACCCAGGCUCGAAAUGUAAUAGGCGAUAUCAGAAACGGUAUUUCUCGCAAGAGCUGUUAUAUAGGUGCUGCAUGGCUGUCGU
rnacentral:rRNA from 1 species